rnacentral:tRNA from 2 species
GGGUCGUUAGCUCAGUUGGUAGAGCAGUUCCCUUUUAAGGAAUUGGUCGUUGGUUCGAACCCAACACGACCCACCA